CAUUAGUAAGCCAGAAAGGUACACUCGUUUCUUCAGCAUACUGUCAUUGGACAGCCAGCAAUACAACCUCAUCUUGAUUAAGUUUUCUGCUUAAAACUGGCUGGGAUUUGGAAAACCAAAAGCAAGACAACCCCCAAAGUAUCUACUUCAGGCUUUAUACAAGACUCCUUCUGCAGCACAUAGAUGCUGACACAGGCCCCCGAAAGGAAACUCCUAUAGAUGCUCCAACUGAAUUCAGCCUGUGUCCUUAGCAUGGCUGGAAGAUGGGGAGAGGUGGGGUGGUACAGCACAGAGCUCCAGCCUGGGAGUUGUUGGACUGUGUGUUUCCACCCAGAGUGAGGGUUCAGGAAGCCUGACCUGUCACCUAAGCGGUGCAGCUGGGCGGGACUAUAAGGCACAGUUUGCCCGGUAGAUGGACACUGCAUUAUAUCUAUAGUGACCUAAUUUAUUGUUUUCAUCACUAUGAAUCUUAGAUAAGGAACCCUUUACAAAAAGAAAAGUCUACAUUUUGUAAGCAACAUAGAACUGUCGUCUGCUUUUAAUGCCAUUAACUACUCCUUUUUCUUUUUUUAAAGGAAGCCUAGUGUGGGGUUCAAUUUCAUAGAAAAAACACUUUUGUUUUAUUUAAAUGGAAGAGUUCAAGGUGCCCAAAGGAAAAUGUAUCAUUAUGGUUACGUCUUUUCCAGCUGAAUGACUAUCCAUCCAGAUUAUGUGCCUCUAGAAUUUGAAUUUUCUCUGUAAUGAUUGUGGAGACAUUGUGAGUCAUUACUUUGAUAUUAAGAGU